GAGUUGCGCAAACCGUAGCCGGGGAAGCGCUACGUGGAGACCGGACUGAGUGGAUGCGGAGCCCUGGAGCUGGGAAACUAGAGGGCGGAUCUUGAAUGGGAUGCUAGACAUUGCUCAUGAGAAACCCGAGGAGGAUACUAAAAACACAACUACAGUUUUCCUGAUGCCUGCCGCCAAGUUUCUUGAGGGCCCAGCUGUUGGGGGUCUGUGGUUGAGUUUUUAAGCAGAAUCAAGUUACAAAGCGCCACACAACUAUCCACAGGGGCUCUGAUAUGUGGACCUGAAUGGGACCUGAAGGAGCUUCAUUUAAAGCAGUGAGUAAGCCUCUCCCAGAUCAUCUUCCAGGUGGAUUUCUUCUCGGCUCACCUGCUUGGUGUCAUUCAACGCCCUGGAAAAACAUUCAUGGUAGUGAAGGAUUCCCUCUGAGCUGCCUUCUGAGGCAGGACCUGCAAUGUGGCCACAGUCAGUCCCCUCCCUGGUUCUCGUGCUGGGAAAGGACGCUGGGAACGGGGUAGCUCCAAGGACGUGAGCCCCCCGAACUGAGCGCCCGAUGAGCGUCUACACUGCCAACGCGGGGCCUGCUCCUGGCACACUCACUCGCUUACCCUUAGGAAACAUGAAACCAGCCACCUAUUCUUUCCAAGGGCUCAUGCUGUUUCAUCCUCAAAGGAGGAGGCCAGUCAUUACCUGUCACACAUCAAAUGGCUCUCCAUUAGCCCCGAGAGCUGUGCUAAAGCCACCUCCCGCUCUCUACUCCUGGAAGACAGAACGUCUGGCAAAAACACCCCGAGGCUAUCGUGUGCCGGUUCUUCUGGUUGGCAAGAAUACACCUAGAUGGUGGAAAAUUGAUUCAAAGGCAAUGAGACAAAGGAGGCUGUUCUUUCAAGGAUCGGGUGAGGGGUACGGGAAGGUUCUUGCUAGUAAUUCCCAUUAACGUUACUAGAAGUGACUCAUGUAAUUCCCCCACCCUCUGAGAGAGGAAUACAGGCUUCUCCCCACCAAGACUUUUUUCCCCAUGCUGUUAAGGCUCACGAAUGUGGAUGCUAAACUUUCCAGGGACAGGCGAUCAGACACCAUGAAGUUCUUUCCAGGCAAACAGAGCUGGUCUGAUGCCACAGUGCUCGUGCGAGGGGGCGGCCAGGCUGGGCAAGCAAGGGAACGUGCCUGGUGCUCUCCCAUCUAACUGCCAUCUUUUUCUUCUCAUUGUCUACGCUUUUAUUUUAGAGGCGUCACAGGGGAGGGGAGGACUAAAAGGGGUUCUUGCCUCUGCAAUACUUAUAACCUGUACAAUCAUGUGUGCUCGGCUCUAGAGAUUAAAAAGUCAUGGUACCCGAUGAGGAAUAGUUCAUUUCCUGGAGAGGAACGGUAGGGCACAGAGCACCAUGAAGAAAAGGAGCCUGUGUACCCUCUGUCACAAGCAUCCUCUUCCAGAGAACUCUGGAAACAGUGCACAGACGUUAAAGAAUUCAUCACUGAGAACAUAUUUGUGAAACGCUAAAAAAAAUAAAGGAAAAGAAAAUUA